rnacentral:rRNA from 1 species
GCAGUCGAGCGCGAAGGUUUUCGGACUGAGUAAAGCGGCGGACGGGUGAGUAACGCGUGGGAAUCUGCCCAGUAGUGGGGGACAACAGCCGGAAACGGCUGCUAAUACCGCAUACGCCCUACGGGGGAAAGGGGGGGAUCUUCGGACCUCUCGCUAUUGGAUGAGCCCGCGUCGGAUUAGCUAGUUGGUAGGGUAAAGGCCUACCAAGGCUACGAUCCGUAACUGGUCUGAGAGGAUGAUCAGUCACACUGGAACUGAGACACGGUCCAGACUCCUACGGGAGGCAGCAGUGGGGAAUAUUGGACAAUGGGGGCAACCCUGAUCCAGCCAUGCCGCGUGUGUGAAGAAGGCCUUAGGGUUGUAAAGCACUUUCAGUGGGGAGAAAGGCCUGUUGGUUAAUAGUCGACGGGAUUGAUGUUACCCACAGAAGAAGCACCGGCUAACUCCGUGCCAGCAGCCGCGGUAAUACGGAGGGUGCAAGCGUUAAUCGGAAUUACUGGGCGUAAAGCGCACGUAGGUGGUUUGUUAAGCCAGCUGUGAAAUCCCCGGGCUCAACCUGGGCACUGCAGUUGGAACUGGCAAGCUAGAGUAGGGUAGAGGGGUGUGGAAUUUCAGGUGUAGCGGUGAAAUGCGU